AUGCCCGUCGCGACUGGCGCAGCGGCCCGGGUGACCGGGCAGGGUGGAACCGACCACCGGGGAGCGGACGGCCGUGGCACCGCGCGCCUGGGUGCCCGGG
rnacentral:ncRNA from 11 species